GAUGAACGCUGGCGGCGUGCCUAAUACAUGCAAGUCGAGCGAACAGACGAGGAGCUUGCUCCUCUGACGUUAGCGGCGGACGGGUGAGUAACACGUGGAUAACCUACCUAUAAGACUGGGAUAACUUCGGGAAACCGGAGCUAAUACCGGAUAAUAUAUUGAACCGCAUGGUUCAAUAGUGAAAGACGGUUUUGCUGUCACUUAUAGAUGGAUCCGCGCCGCAUUAGCUAGUUGGUAAGGUAACGGCUUACCAAGGCAACGAUGCGUAGCCGACCUGAGAGGGGGGUCGCCCACCCUGGAAGGGAGACAGCGACCAGCCUCCUGCGGGAGGGAGCAGAGGGCAAUCUGCGGCAGGGGGGGAGAGCCUGACGGAACAGCGCGGAGUGAGUGAUAAAGGUUUUGGGAUCGUAAACCUCUUUUAUGGGGGAAAAAAAAAUGUGAAAGUAACUGUACCCUUCUUGACGGUACCUAAUAAAAAAGCCCCGGCUAACUACGUG
rnacentral:rRNA from 1 species